UCAAUCCUAAAGUUUAGUGAUCUUUUAGAUAUUAACUCUCAAAAUAGUUCUAAAGUUAUCAUCACCUAAGUGUGUUUACGACGGCGACGAAGCUGGACGACACUGCUCCAAAGUAAUUUGGCUUCUCAUUUGAUUCCUUCUUCAAAAAAUCAUUCUCAGGCUCCAUAAUUCUCUAAUCAUCAAUUUCAAUUUCACCAAAAAAGCUUGGAAGGAAAUGACACAUUUGAGAAUAACUCAUUGUCAAAUUAAGAAUCGCUUACAGAGAUAUAGAGCUAAGCUCAAUCCAAAUGAGGCCGGAGGAAGAAAAUGUAUAAGAAUAUAUUUUAUAUGUUUGAUUUAUGUAUUUUAUUUUAGUUUUAGUUUGUUUAAUCAUCACUUUGAUUUAUGUAUUUUAUUUUA